UACGAAGGGGGCGAGCGUUGUUCGGAGUUACUGGGCGUAAAGGGCGCGUAGGCGGCGAUCCAAGUUAGGCGUGAAAGCCCCGGGCUUAACCUGGGAAUUGCGCUUAAGACUGGACUGCUUGAGUGCGGGAGAGGUGAGUGGAAUUCCCAGUGUAGAGGUGAAAUUCGUAGAUAUUGGGAAGAACACCAGUGGCGAAGGCAGCUCACUGGGACGGUACUGACGCUGAGACGCGAAAGCGUGGGGAGCAAACAGG
rnacentral:rRNA from 1 species